UUGCCAAGUGAACACCCGAGUUUGCUUUGCAGUCCUCUUGGCUUUGAUGCUGUGCUAAAGCAAGGCCUGUUCUUUUUCUCUGCAUCGAAAGGCGCAUUCAUCCUUUUGAAUGCAUUUAAAAGGCCAGUGCCUUA
ensembl:snoRNA